GACGAACGCUGGCGGCGUGCUUAACACAUGCAAGUCGAACGGAAAGGCCCUGCUUUUGUGGGGUGCUCGAGUGGCGAGCGGGUGAGUAACACGUGAGUAACCUGCCCUUGACUUUGGGAUAACUUCAGGAAACUGGGGCUAAUACCGGAUAGGAGCUCCUGCUGCAUGGUGGGGGUUGGAAAGUUUCGGCGGUUGGGGAUGGACUCGCGGCUUAUCAGCUUGUUGGUGGGGUAGUGGCUUACCAAGGCUUUAACGGGUAGCCGGCCUGAGAGGGUGACCGGCCACAUUCGGACUGAGAUACGGCCCAGACUCCUACGGGAGGCAGCAGUGGGGAAUAUUGCACAAUGGGCGUAAGCCUGAUGCAGCAACGCCGCGUGCGGGAUGACGGCCUUCGGGUUGUAAACCGCUUUCGCCUGUGACGAAGCGUGAGUGACGGUAAUGGGUAAAGAAGCACCGGCUAACUACGUG
rnacentral:rRNA from 1 species